UGGGGAAUUUUGGACAAUGGGCGCAAGCCUGAUCCAGCCAUGCCGCGUGCGGGAAGAAGGCCUUCGGGUUGUAAACCGCUUUUGUCAGGGAAGAAAAGGUUCUGGUUAAUACCUGGGACUCAUGACGGUACCUGAAGAAUAAGCACCGGCUAACUACGUGCCAGCAGCCGCGGUAAUACGUAGGGUGCAAGCGUUAAUCGGAAUUACUGGGCGUAAAGCGUGCGCAGGCGGUUAUGCAAGACAGAGGUGAAAUCCCCGGGCUCAACCUGGGAACUGCCUUUGUGACUGCAUAGCUAGAGUACGGUAGAGGGGGAUGGAAUUCCGCGUGUAGCAGUGAAAUGCGUAGGUAUGCGGAGGAACACCGAUGGCGAAGGCAAUCCCCUGGACCUGUACUGACGCUCAUGCACGAAAGCGUGGGGAGCAAACAGG
rnacentral:rRNA from 1 species